GGGACUUUGGAAGUGGUUUUAAACAUCAGUUCUUGCACCCUCUGCCUGGGAUCGUUUUCUCACCAACACCUGCUGGCUUUGAAUGAAACUCCCUCCCCCUUUAGGGAACUUAUGCAGCUGAAGAGAAAUGGAUGCUGGGAACUGCUUCCAGGGACCUGGAAAUUGAUGAAGACACACACAAGGUGCAAACACGGCAUCUCCAGAAGGGAAGUGGUUUGCUACGUGGCACGGAGCGGCUGCAGAGCAGAGCCUAGAUCUGACCCCCGAGACACGAGCUGCCGGAAAGGCUCGGACUGGAGUUUCAGGUAGAUGGGGUGAGAGCGCAUGGGGUGGAGACGGUCCUCCCGCUAACUCCUCCUCACUUCCCUGGUUCUGUCCUGGGGGCUCAUCGAAAUCAGGGUCCCUCAGCAGCUUGAAGAGCAUCGUCUGCACCAGUACAGGGGGGGGGUUCAAACAAAUGGGUCCCCAGCGGGAGUUCUCGUCUACUACAGAUGGAGAAAGAGGGUCUCAGAAUCAAACACUAUAAGGGCAAUUGUUUCUUUAUCUCUGAUAAGGCUGCACAUACUGGCUAAAUUGUUUGGGCUGGGAUUUAAUCAACCCAGUCAAAUGACAGUGACUAUCUGCAUGUCUUGCCCUCUUCCCUGCCAUCGACAGGGCACUGAACUGUGUCCUCGAGACAAAAAAAAGACAUUCUGCGUACUUCAAGAAACUUGCGGUCUAGGGGUGGAAGCAGAUCUUAAAAUAGUUUCUUUCAAAUUAUUCUAAUAGUAUAUUUUCAUUGUAGAUAAUUUGCACAGUGGAGAAGUAUGCAUGUAUGUAUGUAUAUAUGUAUGUAUAUAUUUAUUUGUUGCCUUUUUGGGUCACACCUGUGGCAUAUGGAAGUUCCCAGGCUAGGGUUUCCGGCCUAUACCACAACCACACAGCAACACCAGGUCCAAGCAGCAUCUGCUACCUACACGAGUGCUCACUGGCAACGCUGGAUCCUUAACCUGCCUACCGAGCAAGGCAAGAGAUGGAACCCGCAUCCUCAUGGAUGCUAGUCAGGUUCCUAACCUGCUGUGCUACAAUGGGAACUCUGAGAAGUAUUCAAUUUUUAGACACAGGUGAGCCAUGGAUAGAUUUUAUGCUGGGGCCUAAUGCGAUAAGAUUGGCAUUUGGAACAAGAGUCCUGGUGUGAUGUUGAGGCUGGCGUUGAGCUGGAGGCAGGAAGCCUGGAAGCCCAGCAAGGAGGUCGUGGAGUAAUUGCACUCAGCCACGAGGGGUCUGACCCAGGGCAGAGGCGGCUGAGGUGGGUCUGAGAGAUCACUGGGAGAAAGUGUGUUGGGAAACCGAACAGAGAAACUAAAGCCACUUUGCCUUAAGAAAUGGGCCUUGCUAGACGACGCUUUUCACAAGCUGGUCCCCUGGAAAGGGCCUUGAGGGCACAGCUAAGCAAACAUGCAGCCCUCCUGGGCAUCGGCUCUCCCUCAGGUGAAUGGUCUGCCAUAUUUCCGAUUCCAGGAACUGGCUGGAGUAACACUUAUGCAAUGGGAACGUAGGAGGCCUGCCUCCCGGAGCCUGGCUGGUGGAGAACUUGGCAAGUUCUCUGUGGAGUGGAGAGACCUGCUGGUCCACCACAAGUGGACUUCCCCUGGGGUGCUGACUGGGGAAGUCAGAGCCGGCUGUGCAGACGGCUGUGUGGGCCUGGAGCCUCUGGCAAGAGGAGCUGGGUGCCUGCAGGGAGGGGUGGACCCCGCUUCACACCACUUCUAUGGUAGAACAAGAGGAGGACACCGCCCAGGGGGAAGCUCUGCUGUCUGUGUCCCCUGCAGUGGGUAGAGUGAAGGCCUCAGGGCCCAAACAGCUUGAUCUUUCACUUCAUCACUGUGUGACCUGGAAGUCACUUAAUCUCUUGGGUCUUCUGUGUCCUUGUGUAUGAAAUGGGAAUAAGCAUAGCAGUCAUCAAGAAUAAGAAAAGAAAAAUGAGUGAAAACGGCCAUUACAUGCCCAGCACCUUGCAGAAAGUAACUAAGCGACUGUUGUAGGUUGCAGGGUCAUGACUCUAAACGGAGCUCCUACGAAGUUUGGUAGAGGGUGGGUGGGGAGAGGCAGAAGGCCCACUGUUGAAUAAACAUGAAAGGAAUAAACAGCCAUAAAUAAAGGCAUUCUCUCUCUCUCUCUCUCUCUCUCUUUUUUUUGUCUUUUUGCCUUUUCAAGGGCCACUCCUACAGCAUAUGGAGGUUCCCAGGCUAGGGGUGGAAUCGGAGCUAUAGCCACUGGCCUACGCCAGAGCCAUAGCAACACCAGAUCCGAGCUGUGUCUGUGACCUACACUGCAGCUCACAGCAACGCCGAAUCCUUAACACACUGAGCAAGGCCAGAGAUCGAACCCACAACCUCAUGGUUCCUAGUGGGAUUCGUUAACCACUGCGCCACGAUGGGAAUCCCCAAGGCAUUCUCUCUUUAUGCAUCUGAGUAAGUAGGGUUCUGAAUACUGGUUUGUAUCCCAAACGUAUGUAAACCAAAUCAUUCUCAAAGCCUCCACGGGGUUUCUUGUGUACAGGUAUCUGGGUGGGCAUCUUUGUAAAACUGCUGCCACUGCUGACUCUGAGACACUGUUGUGUCUCACCUGGAGCAGUCAGAGGAAAGAGAGAAUUCCUCUGUGCAACUGAGCACCUCUUUGGUCCUCUUUCUUCUUUAUUAAACCAAACUGCUGGUUUGUUUAUUUAUUUAUUAUUUGUAAUAUUUUAUUUUAUUUUUUUGGCCAGACCUGUGGCAUAUUGAAAUUCCCAGGCUAGGGGUUGGAUCGGAGCUGUAGACCCUGGCCUACACCACAGCCAUAGCAACACCAAUUCAAGCCGUGUCUGUGACCUACACUGCAGCUCACAGCAACGCUGAAUCCUUAAUCCAUGGAGCGAGGCCAGGGAUCAAACCUGUGUCCUCAUGGACACUAGUCACGUUCAUUACCACUGAGCCAUGACAGGAACUGCCCCCAUGUGGCUGUCUUUCUGCCAGUAGUUUCCAGGGAAGGUGAGGGAAGACCAAAACCUUAUUUCCCUUGUAAGGUCCAAUAAUUCCACAUGAUGGAAUUAUGUCACGUGACAAUACCCGUGGAGUCAGGCAACCAUCUCUGAGCUCUGGCUCAGAGGCUGGUGCACGUGGCACCCUCAAUAAUUAAAAGCACAUUUUAGAAACAUGCCAAGUGUUUCCCCUGCAGUCUCUCUAAGCCCAGUCACGUCCCAAGCGCGGCUUGGAGGCUGAACUCACUGCUUGCAUCCUCCUCAUGGAAAGUUUCUGGGAUGCGGUGGGAGGGCCCAUUCUGUGUUCUUUUUCAUAAUGCAUUUGGUCCAUGUUGCUUUCAAGUUCAUUGCUCCUGCUUUAAUUUUUGUACUUGCCUUGCCCUUUGAUGCUGCUAAUCUGUUUCAUUUAUCCUGCCACUAUUGGGGCUCCCUCUCAACCCUGAAUUCUAGUUCCCUGUGGGUUAACUUGUGCCCGAGAACACAUCAACCUUGUAUUCUCCCCCAGAGGGAAGUCCCGUGGGGCCCCUGUGAACCCCACAAGCUAGAACUAACACACAGAAUUGCCCACCCCCAAUGGCCACCUGGUCUGCCCCCUGACGCACUCUAGUCACACAAAUGCCAGGGUGUGUAUCUUCCUUGCGGUCUAAAGGCCUGAAUUCAUCCCAAGGGCACACUUACUUUCCAGCGCUGACAGGGCAUCCAGCUCUGUGCUGAGUUAGCAUCAUAAGGAAGGGGGGUGUUUGUCAUAACAGAGAGGAAAUGGACUUCGGAAAUUCACGUCCGAAAUUAAGCGGCACCAAUUAGUCUCGUGACCUUGGGUAAAUCACCUGACUCUGAGCCUCAGUCCUCGUCUGUCCGAUGGAGAUAACUGCUACCUUAUCUGGCAAUGGGUGAAUUGGAGUGUGCAGUGGGAUUAAAUAUUUAAGGUACUUGGCCUUCAGGAGACACUAAAUAAAUGGCCGCUGUGUAUGAACACAGGCAUGCCCACAAGACACAGGGCCAUAGUUGGAAAAGAAAAAAA
rnacentral:lncRNA from 1 species